CCUACGGGAGGCUGCAGUGAGGAAUAUUGGUCAAUGGGCGAGAGCCUGAACCAGCCAAGUCGCGUGAAGGAUGAUGGCCCUACGGGUUGUAAACUUCUUUUGUCAGGGAGCAAUUGGGUCCACGCGUGGGCUUAGCGAGAGUACCUGAAGAAAAAGCAUCGGCUAACUCCGUGCCAGCAGCCGCGGUAAUACGUAGGUGGCAAGCGUUGUCCGGAUUGACUGGGUGUAAAGGGCAUGUAGCCGGGCUGACAAGUCAGAUGUGAAAUCCGGGGGCUCAACCCCCGAACUGCAUUUGAAACUGUUGGUCUUGAGUAUAUGAGAGGCAGGCGGAAUUCCUAGUGUAGCGGUGAAAUGCGUAGAUAUUAGGAAGAACACCAGUGGCGAAGGCGGCCUGCUGGACGACAACUGACGGUGAGGCGCGAAAGCGUGGGGAGCAAACAGGAUUAGAUACCCCUGUAGUC
rnacentral:rRNA from 1 species